UACGUAGGGUGCAAGCGUUAAUCGGAAUUACUGGGCGUAAAGCGUGCGCAGGCGGUUUUGUAAGUCUGAUGUGAAAUCCCCGGGCUCAACCUGGGAAUUGCAUUGGAGACUGCAAGGCUAGAAUCUGGCAGAGGGGGGGUAGAAUUCCACGUGUAGCAGUGAAAUGCGUAGAUAUGUGGAGGAACACCGAUGGCGAAGGCAGCCCCCUGGGUCAAGAUUGACGCUCAUGCACGAAAGCGUGGG
rnacentral:rRNA from 1 species